GAACUCCCCUCACCUGGUUGUCUAGGUCUCAGUAAGGAACUCCCCUCACCUGGUUGUCUAGGUCUCAGUAAGGAACUCCCCUCACCUGGUUGUCUAGGUCUCAGUAAGGAACUCCCCUCACCUGGUUGUCUAGGUCUCAGUAAGGAACUCCCCUCACCUGGUUGUCUAGGUCUCAGUAAGGAACUCCCCUCACCUGGUUGUCUAGGUCUCAGUAAGGAACUCCCCUCACCUGGUUGUCUAGGUCUCAGUAAGGAACUCCCCUCACCUGGUUGUCUAGGUCUCAGUAAGGAACUCCCCUCACCUGGUUGUCUAAGUCUCCGUAAGGAACUCCCC